AUUGAACGCUGGCGGCAGGCCUAACACAUGCAAGUCGAGCGGAGCGGCUGUCGGGCGAGUAAUGCCUAGGAAUCUGCCUGGUUGAGGGGGAUAACGUCCGGAAACGGGCAAUAAUACCGCCGCCUCUCCCAUGAGCCUAGGUCGGCAUAGCUAGGUGGUGGGGUAAAGGCCUACCAAGGCGACGAUCCGUAACUGGUAGGAGAGGGUGAUCAGUCACACUGGACCGGAGACACGGUCAAGACACCUACGGGAGGCAGCAGUGGGGAAUAUUGGACGAUGGGCGAAAGCCUGCUACAGCCAUGCCGCGUGUGUGAAGAAGGUCCUCGGAUUGUAAAGUACUUUCAGUCGGGCGGCGGUACCGACAGAAGAAGCACCGGCUAACUCCGUGCCAGCAGCCGCGGUAAUUC
rnacentral:rRNA from 1 species